rnacentral:misc_RNA from 1 species
ACGCAUGCAGCCGAACCGGCCUUCGUCGGAUUCAGGGGGUCGCGGCAGUCCUGGUCGCGCCGAGCGUCACCCCAGCGGGGUCGUCGGCACGAGGCAGGUGGCCGCGCCCCUGCACUCCCGGCGGUUGGGGGCCGGCCAAGAGCGGCGGUGUCCGCGACGAGGAGGACGGUCGGGUAGGUGGUGCYUGSGACCCUCGGGUCGGAGGCGAGCUUACAGCCGUCCGUUCGGCAGGUCGCGGGUCCGCCGAGGAGAGCGGUGGCUUUCUUCACCCCGGCAGCGCAGGCCCCGGCUACGGGCGGGGCCGGAGCSCUUCUGUCCGUUCAGCCUCCGCGCCGAGGGACUGUUCGCAGUGUCCGGCGUCGGUGCGCGGGUCCGGGCGGGAGGCGGUCUCACGCCAU